UAAUACGUAGGGGGCAAGCGUUGCUCGGAAUUACUGGGCGUAAAGGGUGUGUAGGUGGCUGAGUAAGUCAAAGAUGAAAUCCCGAGGCUCAACUUCGGAAUUGUUUUUGAAACUAUUCAGCUUGAGGAUAGUUGAGGAAAACGGAAUUCCCGGUGGAGCGGUGAAAUGCGUUGAUAUCGGGAGGAACACCAGAGGCGAAGGCGGUUUUCUGGGCUAUUCCUGACACUGAAACACGAAAGCUAGGGGAGCAAACGGGAUUAGAUACCCCGGUAGUCCUAGCUGUAAACGAUGGGCACUAGAUGUUCCUACUUUUGGUGGGAGUGUCGAAGCUAACGCGUUAAGUGCCCCGCCUGGGGAGUACGGUCGCAAGGCUG
rnacentral:rRNA from 1 species